GAUACACGUUUUUAAACAUCCUUUUGUGUGUAAGUGUGCAUUAGUACAUGCUAACGAUAUUCAAAAAGUACAUACCUCAAAGAAAACGAUGACGCGAGUUAUCGUCUCUAACGUUUGAGGACUACAAAAAACACUCGGAUUGUAGGCAACAGUUUACUUCCUGGGAUUAGUGACGUAGAUAAGACCAACAUUAUCAUAGUUCAGCCCUCUCUGCUUUGCUUGGGUACGCCCUCAAAGACGAGGGUGGGGAGCGCCGAGUCAGAAGAGAGCUAAAAUGGCGGAGGUUGUGAGUCCCUGCUUUGACUCUGUUUGCAAACUCUUGUUUCAUUGUUUAAGCGAUUAAAUCUCUCGAGUAGACGCUGUCUCUUUAGAUGCGAGGGAAAAUAGCACUUUAUGGACUUCCACAGAGGACAUCAUGUUUAAUACGGUUCCGGAAAAAUCCAGUCAGAAGUUGUUCAAGGAGUUUUCACAAUAACUGCUUCUCAUGAACCGAAGCUGGAUUUGCGCGACGUCUCCUCUUGAAAGUUGGAUUACUGUGCACUUCUGGAUCACAGGCUGUAAGUAUUCACGUUUAUUAUUUGCCUUUUACUGUACGUUACGUAACCGGAGAUUAACAUAAUGUGCGUGUAGAGCUAAGCUUGCAAGCUAAUUGUCUUGUGUUGUAAUACUGUAUUUCAUAAACAACGUACCAUAUUUACACACGUGUAUGUUGAAUUAUGCAGACUAUCGUUUUUUUUAUCGAUGUUGGUUUAGACAUGUUUACAAACUUGCUAAGUUGCUAAGCUAAAUACAAAUGCCAGCUAACGUUAAACUGUUACCAGUAAAAUUUGUUCUCAUGAUCAAACUCAAGAAACUCUAAGUACAGAUGAUUUGUUUAAAGUUAAAAUGUAUUUUACUGUUGUAUUUACUUGAAGCUUUCUUAGAUUUUGAAACGAAGUAAACACGUAAUGUGUGUUGCUAAUGUUGGGCCAUGUAAUAUGUAAUACAUUUACGUUUUAAUGAAUAGUCUAACGAUUUAUAGUCGUUGUACUCUAUUGUUAUAAUAUUUCUUUUUGACUGAAUACAUGUUUGUUUUAUUUGUCUAUAUCCUAGAUUCGCAGCUGGACACAUCCUUCUACAAUGUAUGCAAACAUGCAACAUCAUUACACACAGUACAAGGAGUCAGACUGGCAUAUGAGGAGCAAAGGAACCCAGGCAGUAGCAUCGUUUCACAAUGUUUCCAUCACCAUCAUCAGUGGAUGCCUUUGCUGUCCGUAGCCUGAGAUUUCAGAUUUGCAGCAAAAAAAAUUUGAUUUUCUCAUUUAUUGGAAUGCUGUGCAGGUAUUUGUACCUUGCAGCCAUCCAUUACAAUGUCACCAAGCCGUAACAAAAGCAGGAGAGGGAAAGUACAAGGCUAUGUUCCCAAAACACACAAGUGACAUACCUUAUGUGGAGGAUGUGAUCAGGCUUGUGUUUGAUGAGGUAUUUGAAGAUAAGCUGAAGGAAGCCCUGAUUCCAAUGGACCUGGCAUCACAGUUUGAGAGACCCUCAAAAGAGGACGUGAUUGCAUGCCAUCUUCAGUGCAGGGGUCGUCGAAAGCCAAAAUUGUGACCGAUCUGAUCAGGAAGCUCCAAGCGUAUCUGGAGAACAACACACGACAGGAUGAUAACCUUAUAGUGUCGUCUUAGAUAGCACCAGCUGACAAAGCUUUGAUAUGCCAUUUAUCUGAAUAGAUAGCUGU